rnacentral:lncRNA from 1 species
GAGUUCCCUCACAAAGACUUAAUAUAAAAAAGGCCCAAAAUGGGCCGAUUAUAAAUAAAUAAAUAAAUAAAUAUAUGAAUAAAUAAAUAAGUUUCCUUUUUUGGACGCAUAAAAAUAACAAAAAUAAAAAGAUUGAAAUAGAAUAAAGCAACAAUGUUUUUUUAUAAGGAAUACGAAUAAAAAGAUUAACCUAAAUCAAGUAAAUACAUAAGGAAAAUAAAAUAAGGAAUGACGAUGUUAAGAAAAUAAAAUUAAUGAAAUUAAACAAAAAAAACUACUAAGGUCAAGGAUUGAACUAAAGGCCUAGGGGGAAACAAAGGAAGUCUCCACCACCAGACCAAAGGCAACUACUUGGAAAAUAAAUACUCCCGUUGGUACAUCAAAAAUGAAAUCGAAAAUUUGAAAGAAAAAAAAUUUUGGGCCCAAAAUUGGGCCGCGGGUCAGCAAACAGGUCGGUUGAGCGACCCAGAUCCAGUACUAAAGAAGUGGAAUUAGUUUUUUUAAAAAUGUUCCCUUACUUCCCAAAACGGCCGAUCCCCCACCCCUCACUUUUUUCAAACGAAAAAACCAGAAAAAGAGGAACUUGAAGUUCUAGCAAUGGAGGAUGGCUUCCCUCACGACCCACCUUCUUCAUCUCAGAUGAAAGCUCUCUCAUCGGACACCCUCUUUCAUUCUCGCGCGACCGCCACAACCCUGGCCGUUUCCUAAACAACACAGCUGUGUAUCAACAACAAAACAGAAUGAAAUACAAAAAAAAAAGCAAAAUCACAAAUCCAAAUCACAC